rnacentral:rRNA from 1 species
GUGUUGUAAGUGUCUAAGGGCGCACGGUGGAUGCCUUGGCGCAAGGAGCCGAUGAAGGACGUGGGAGGCUGCGAUAUGCCUCGGGGAGCUGUCAACCGAGCUGUGAUCCGAGGAUUUCCGAAUGGGGAAACCCAGCACCAGUCAUGUGGUGUUACCCGCCGUUGAAUAUAUAGACGGUGUGGAGGGAACGAGGGGAAGUGAAACAUCUCAGUACCCUCAGGAAGAGAAAACAAUAGUGAUUCCGUGAGUAGUGGCGAGCGAAAGCGGAUGAGGCUAAACCAUGCACAUGUGAUACCGGGUAGGGGUUGUGUGUGUGGUGUUGUGGGGUUCAUCUUUCCAGCUCUACCUGGCUGGACAGCAGUAAGAAAGUGUCAUGUUAGGUGAAGUGACCUGGAAUGGUCCGCCGGAGAGGGUGAGAGUCCCGUAACUGAAAACGUGGUGCCUGUUGUGAUGGAUACCCGAGUAGCAGCGAGCCCGUGGAAUUUGCUGUGAAUCUGCCGGGACCACCCGGUAAGCCUGAAUACUACCUUGCGACCGAUAGCGGACAAGUACCGUGAGGGAAAGGUGAAAAGUACCCCGGGAGGGGAGUGAAAUAGUACCUGAAACCGUGUGCUUACAAUCCGUCAGAGCCCUCGUUGUGGGGUGAUGGCGUGCCUUUUGAAGAAUGA